rnacentral:tRNA from 1 species
GCCGCGGCGAUAGCUCAGUGGGCAAAGCGCCAGGUGAGUAGAUGGCGAUUGCUCCGAGAGCUAUUAUCCGCGCGGGUUCGAAUCCCGCAUGUGGCA